rnacentral:rRNA from 1 species
CAAAUCAUCAAGUGUUUUUAUGGCACUUUAAAUCCAUAUCCACCUUGUGUGCAAUGUCAUCUCACUGGGGUUACGUUUGUAAAAUUUCGUGAUCCGUUUGGGAUUUAUAUCUACUCAGAACUUUAGUCAUUUUGUCUGAAACAUAUUAUGAAUAACUUAAUUCAAAAUACAACUUUCAACAACGGAUCUCUUGGCUCUCGCAUCGAUGAAGAACGCAGCGAAAUGCGAUACGUAAUGUGAAUUGCAGAAUUCAGUGAAUCAUCGAAUCUUUGAACGCAUAUUGCGCUCUCUGGUAUUCCGGAGAGCAUGCUUGUUUGAGUAUCAGUAAACACCUCAACUCCCUUUCUUCUUGAAAUGGAGCUGGACUUGAGUGAUCCCAACGCUUUAUUCAUAAAGUGGCGGGUUACUUGAAAUGCAGGUGCAGCUGGACUUUUCUCUGAGCUAUAAGCAUAUCUAUUUAGUCUGCCUCAAAAACAGAUUAUUACCUUUGCUGCAGCUAACAUAAAGGAGAUUAGUUCUUGUGCUGACUGAUGCAGGAUUCACAAAGACCGCUUCGGCUGUCUUUGUAAACUCGAUCUCAAAUCAAGUAAGACUACCCGCUGAACUUAAGCAUAUCAUAAGCGCGAGAGGAUGG